CCGAGACUGGAGCCGGCGCGCGCGGCGGUGGGGGGAGGCGGCGGCACCGGGGCCGGGCCGGGCCGGGCCGGGCCGGGCCGGGCCGGGCCGGGCCGUGGCGACGGCGAUAGCGCUGGGCCGCGCCGCGCAGGUGCUGCCUCGCCGCCCUGCUCCUGGCUAACCAGCAGCAGUUCUUCAGUGGCAAGCUUUAUGUCCUUCUCUAGUAGCUAAAGCUGCCAGUUGAAGAACUGUUGAAUGUAGCCACUCUCUUCUCGUUACCGGGACCUUGGAUGUCAGCUGGACCUGUGCCCCAAGUGACUGGGACAAGCCAGUCUGCAGCCUCCUGUGGAUUUGAGGGCUGAGGAUGAGCCCGACCAGGAUGAAGAAGCCUCCAGACAGAGCCUUGGCUGGGGGAUUGCCAAGCAGCCCCGCCAGUAGGGCUCUCAAGCAGGGUUUCCCACACCAGUGGGGUGGCACUGAGCUGCCAGAUGACUAGAGAAAACCAAAAGAGGCAUUAAACUUUCUGUUUUGCUCAACA